GUGAAAUAGAAUUUGUGUAUGAUCUAAACACAAAUGGAACUCAAACUAAAAUUAAAAAGGCACCAAAAGAGCAAAGAACAGCAGAUUCAAGCAAAUAAAGAGACCCAAAAUCAAGAAACAAUCAAGCCAAAUAAAAGGACUACUAUGAAUUGUUGACAAUAUGGAUGAACAUGACUUGACAAAACAUGUAUAGAUUCAGAAAAUUAAAGACUCAAAGCAUAAUAUGAACCAAAUAAUGAAAGCAAUAAAGACUCAAAAGCCUAAAAGAAAAUAGCAACUCAAGGUGUAUGGAAUCCUAUCACAAAUUGCACAAGAACUUGUUCAAGAUCAAUUGAACAAGAGUGCUUCGGUUGGAUCUUCCACAAAGCACA
rnacentral:lncRNA from 1 species